GCUUUAAUCCUUCACAAAAUGCUAAAGUGCCUUUUAUGGAGGGCUUCUGACUGCAACUUAAUGAACCUGAAGUCUCAAAUUUUUUAUUGUUUAGCAGAGGGCAGUCACAUGCUUUUUGCGCUUCUCAGCAUAUCUUAAGCUCAGCCAUUAAAAUGAUUUUGCCACUUGAUUGCACGUUUUACAGUUAGUGCAGCAGGUGGAUAUGCAUAACAUAGGUGACCGCAAACAAUAUAAUGCAUAAAUAACUGAAUCAUACUUCCUGGCUCCCGUGUCACCCUGUCUUUGUUGUUAAGCCUCAUCAUUGGUUGAAUUUGAUAUACACAUUCAGACGCACUUACCCCUAGAGGAGUCCCCAAAGUGUCACCGCAGUGACGCAGUAAGAGUUUCCUUGAAAGGGACGGAGUGGUGACGGAUGAGGAUUUCAUGGUGGAGUCUGGUGACGAUUCAUGGGAUUUGAUUACGUGUUUUUGCGGAAAACCUUUUGCGGGACGCCCGAUGAUCGAGUGUGACGAGUGCUCCAUAUGGGUCCAUCUGUCCUGCGCUAAGAUUAAGAAGUCCAACGUACCUGAUGUUUUCUACUGCCACAGAUGCAGAGACACUCGGCCCACCACAGUCAAAAAGGAACAUUGAGAAAUCGUGUAUUGUGUACAGAUUCUUUGUUUGUAAAUGAAUAUAAGAUGUUCUCACCUGUCCCUUUUUACUUGUCUCAUCACUAUAAAUUAUAGUUUCUAUUAAAUUAAAUCUGAUACCCCUCUUA